UGGGGAAUAUUGGACAAUGGGCGAAAGCCUGAUCCAGCCAUGCCGCGUGUGUGAAGAAGGUCUUCGGAUUGUAAAGCACUUUAAGUUGGGAGGAAGGGCGGUAGGCGAAUACCUUGCUGUUUUUACGUUCCCGCCAGCAUAAGCACCGGCUAAAUCUGUUCCAGCAGCCGCGGUAAUACAGGGGGUGCAAGCGUUAAUCGGAAUUACUGGGCGUAAAGCGCGCCUAGGUGGUUCGUUAAGUUGAAUGUGAAAGCCCCGGGCUCAACCUGGGAACUGCAUCCAAAACGGGCGAGCUAGAGUAGGGCAGAGGGUGGUGGAAGUUCCUGUGUAGCGGUGAAAUGCGUAGAUAUAGGAAGGAACACCAGUGGCGAAGGCGACCACCUGGGCUCAAACUGACACUGAGGUGCGAAAGCGUGGGGAGCAAACAGG
rnacentral:rRNA from 1 species